rnacentral:miRNA from 1 species
AAGCCCUGAAUGAACUUUUUGG